rnacentral:misc_RNA from 1 species
UUUCCGUAGGUGAACCUGCGGAAGGAUCAUUAUUGUAUAACCGAGGUGCGAGGGCUGUCGCUGACCCGAAAGGUCGUGCACGCCCGAGUGCCCUCACACACAUCCAUCUCACCCCUAUGUGCACCACCGCGUGGGUCCCCCUUUGGCUUGUUCGGAGGGGGGCUUACGUUGUCACACAAACUUUGUAUGCAGUGUAGAAUGUAUUUUUUGUUUUUGCGAUCACGCAAUCAAUACAACUCUCAACAACGGAUCUCUUGGCUCUCGCAUCGUGAAGAACGCAGC